rnacentral:rRNA from 1 species
AGCCCGCUCGCCGCAAGCCCAAGGUUUCCUGCUCUACGUUCAUCGGAGCAGGGUGAGUCGGCCCCUAAGGCGAGGCUGAGAAGCAUAGCUGAUGGGAACCAGGUUAAUAAUCCUGGACCGAUUGCAGGUGCGAAGGAGGGACGGAGUGCUGAAGGUCAUCCGGGUGUUGGAUAUCCCGGUUUGCGAGCGUAGGAAGCCGGCAGGCAAAUCCGCCGGCGAAUUUCCGAGGCGAAGCAUCGAGGCUGGUUUCAGCUGAAGUG